ensembl:snRNA U6 U6 spliceosomal RNA
GCACUCACUCUGGCAGCACAUAUUCUCAAAUUGGAACGAUACAGAGAAGAAUAGCAUGGCCCCUGCACAAGGAUGACGCUCAAAUUCGUGAAGCAUUCCUAAUUUUU